AUGGCGUUCGCCGACGAGUACAAGGACGUGGAGGCCCACGGCAACACCAAGUUGCACAUCAUCCACACCAACGACAAGAAGCAGAUGGCGAUCACCCUCCCGCAGUACGAGCGCCACCUCAGCCUUCAGCGCCACAAGAUCGUCGGCAUUGAUCUCAAGUACAACAACGAGCCUGAAGCGACGCAGAAACCCGCCCUCUGCCAACUCUCCAUCGGCAAGAAACACACGGUGCUGCUCUUCCAACUUAGCGCCGCUGAAAGGUGCACCGUCUUCGACAACUUCCUCGCCGACCGCAGGUACACCUUUGCAGGCUUCUCCAUCGACGGCGACAAAACCAGGCUAGAGCGUGUCAAUCUGGAGGUCGCCAACUUCAUCGACAUCCAGAAGGAGUGGAGGGUGCCCGAGGCAACCAAGGAGUUGGACUCCCUUGGAGACGCCUCCGGCAUGCUCAACGACGACUAG
rnacentral:rRNA from 1 species